CAUUGAGCUGCAGGUCAUUCUUCUCUUGAAGAAGAGAAACCAUUUUCUCCUCUAGUUCCUUUCUACGAGCUUCAGAUUUUGCGUAAGCCUCUUUCAGCUUCAGGAAUUCUUCCUUCAUGCUGGCCAUCUCCUUUUCUGCUUCAGCAGAUCUCAAUAGAGGUUUGAUCUUAAAAAACAGCUUCAUCCAGGGCCAAUUCUUCACCCCCAUGAAGGCACGGAUGUUCCACUGGAUCACCAAUAGUGCAUCUCUGUCAAAGAGCAACCAAGACCUCUUGCUCUUGCCUGGAUUCCAGUUAUGAUCAGUGACAAACGUUCAUCUCUCAUCUCCUCCAACAGUCCAAGAAGACCAGCCUUGAAGAACACCUUAAGGAGCAUGAUCCUGUUGGGGAAGCCCUUUCUGCAGAUCCUGAUGCCUUCCAGCACACCAUUACAGCGCAGCUGGUGCAUUACCAGAGGGUUCUCCAUGGCCCCAGGAGUCUUGGUCUCAUUGGGGAUGAUGCAGCGUACAAAGUGAGGUCAGAGCAGUGACUUUGUCCCCGUCACGGCUGGUGAUGGAAGCCUUCACAUACUCCUCGUCAGUAUCAGGAACAAAGCACUCCUUCUUCAUGUCGAAGGCACGGGUCUGGGCCUCCAGACGCUCCCUGUCUGACUUCCUCAGAUGCUCUUACCUUACCAAUCCCUACCGCGGAGACUGGGUUGUGAUGGUCCUAAGGAAAUAAAUAACGGAAGCUGAUGAGACUAGUCUGCAGUCCACAUCAACAAAGAUCUCAACAACGGUUUGAUCUUGAAGAACAGCUUCAUCCAGGGCCAAUUCUUCACCCCCAUAAAUGAACGGACAUUCCAUUGGAUCACUAAUAAUGCUUCUCUGCGUUCCACCAUCUUCUGAUACUCAAUACGAGACAAAAGACCACGGGAUCUGGCUUGAAUACCAGUGAUGAUUUUGGAGAGACGCUCAUCUCUCAUCUCCUCAAGCAGACCCAGCAAACCAGCCUUGAAGAACACCUAACAACAC